GGAAGCAGGAGAAGAAGAAGCAUCUCACAGGAGCAGCUUGGUUCUCCAUCUCCUGUCUUAAGAACAGGUGUAAUAAUCAUGGCAAAGCAGUGGAGCUCCUUUUAAACAUACAUCUGAGGGGUAAGGCUGCCAGAACAAAGGAAGCAAAGAACAAAAAUACACCCCUCUGAUAUUAACAUCACCAACACAGAGGUCAACCUUCAACAGGGGUUUUUCCGAAAGCCUGGUUGUUCAGCAUUGCCUUGUGAGGCCCGUACUGCAGGUUAGGUUAUGCUUUUGCCUAUGAAAAUGCUGCAUAGUGGUUGGCAUAGGAUGUUUUGCCCUUUGGUGGAUGUUUGGUGCUGUGCUCGGUAGGUUAUUGUGGCUGAUGAGUUUCUUUGCACUAGCAUGUGGACUGUUGAGGACUAGUGGGUGUUUUGAAAUCUUGGUAUUUCCCCCCCACCCCACCCCACAACUUGAACCAUACAUUAUUUGAAGAGUUGAAGAGGUGUGGCCUGAAAUCAUAUGAUGCAGCAUCCUCACUGAGGCUGAACAGAUCUAGGUCUGGUCAGUGCCUGGAUGGACCUGGAGUGUCUGCCUGCUCACUUUGAGUUCCAUGGAAGAAAGGAAAUGAAUGAAAAAGAAAAUAGUAAUACACUAGAUCUGAGCAGUUCUGAAAGUUCUUUUAUUAAUUCUGUGCACCAAGAACAGAGUCCAAAGCUCUGUAGUGUUUGGUUUCAAGUGAUGUUCCCCAAGUCAUCACCUGACGCUGCAGCUAUCAUGUGGAGAACAUCCCUGUGUAAAAUCUAGGACUGUCCAGUCGUGUCAGUCCAACAGACAUGGACCUACAUGCCCUCUGUUGAGCUUUAUUGGAGAGAUUUCCACCACAACAUCAAGAUAAGGUGGUCUUGCACACAGAAGAGGAAUUCCUCAGCUUGCUGAUAACAUGACUGUCUGUUUCCUGGUGAGGACAAAACUCUUUCCUAUCUAGCAGCUCAGCAUUUUGAGAAAGGAGAAAAUGAUUUUAGGAAUGCUUUUAGCUGUUACUGAACAGUACACUACAAUAAUAGAAAAAUGAAAUUGAUAGCUACUUGCCUAUAUACCUAAUCACCUACACUUGUAAUCUUUCUUUAGCCUUAA